AGCAGCCGCGGUAAUUCCAGCUCCAAUAGCGUAUAUUAAAGUUGUUGCAGUUAAAAAGCUCGUAGUUGAAUUUCGGGGUUCUACCGUUGGUCGGGCAAUAGUCUGUACUGGCGUGUAGAAUUUCUACCUUCUGGGGAACCAUCAUGUUAUUUAUUUAGCGUGGUGGGAAACCAGGACCUUUACCUUGAAAAAAUUAGAGUGUUCAAAGCAGGCUUACGUCUGAAUACAUUAGCAUGGAAUAAUAAAAUAGGACGGUGGUCCUGUUUUGUUGGUUUCUGAAUCACCGUAAUGAUUAAUAGGGAUAGUUGGGGGCAUUAGUAUUCAAUUGUCAGAGGUGAAAUUCUUGGAUUUAUUGAAGACUAACUUCUGCGAAAGCAUUUGCCAAGGAUGUUUUCAUUAAUCAAGAACGAAAGUUAGGGGAUCGAAGACGAUCAGAUACCGUCGUAGUCUUAACCAUAAACUAUGCCGACUAGGGAUCGGACGAUGUUAAUUUUUCUUGACUCGUUCGGCGCCUUACGG
rnacentral:rRNA from 1 species